rnacentral:tRNA from 1 species
GCGGGUGUGGCGGAAUUGGCAGACGCGCAGGAUUUAGGUUCCUGUGUCUUCGGACGUGAGAGUUCAAGUCUCUCCACCCGCACAA